AUCCUGCUGACGAGUCUGAAAUAGAACGAAACACGAGUCCUGGAU
rnacentral:hammerhead_ribozyme from 1 species